rnacentral:lncRNA from 1 species
GGGGAAAAAUGUUUCUAAUGAAGCUUGAAAAUUAUUGAGAGGGUUGAAUGUCUCCCCAGUCACCCCUGGGGACACAUCUAGAGGGUAAUUUACUAUGGGACACUUGACACAGCAGGAAAUGGGGGAGUAGAUGGCGUAAGAACAGCUGGAACACCUGGAGAAACUUUAUCCUUGAACGGAACUGUGGAUUCAACGUCUUCAUUUCAUUUGCUACCUGGUGGAUUCUUUACCACUGAGCCCCCCGGGAGGCCCCAAGAUGGAGGAUGCUGCUGCUAAGUUGCUUCAGUCGUGUCCGACUCUAUGUGCCCCCAUAGAUGGCAGCCCACCAGGCUCCCCGCCCCUGGGAUUCUCCAGGCAAGAACACUGGAGUGGGUUGCCAUUUCCUUCUCCAAUGCAAGAAAGUGAAAAGUGAAAGGGAAGUCGCUCAGUUGUGUCUGACUCUUCUAAUUUUACUCAAAAAGGAGAACUUCCUGACCCAGGAAUUGAACCAGCUCUCUCCUGCAUUGCAAGCAGACGCUUUACUGACUGAGUUACAUGGGACCUCUUCACUCUGCAGGAGAACAGGGUUUUCUGUGGCAAGUAAGCUUGCUGUUUGGAUAUUUACAUGA